rnacentral:misc_RNA from 1 species
UUGUGGAGGAGGACGCCGAAGGUGGGGCUAAUGACUGGGGUGAAGUCGUAACAAGGUAGCCGUACCGGAAGGUGCGGCUGGAUCACCUCCUAACAGGGAGACAACAAAAUGUUUAAUAUUAUUAUUUUGUCACCUUAGGUCGAUCGGUAUCUCACGUUUUUAAUAUAUUAAGAAUUUCAUUUCCUAAGUUUUUCUAGGUCACACCCAUUUUUUCCUGGGCCAUUAGCUCAGGUGGUUAGAGCGCACCCCUGAUAAGGGUGAGGUCCCUGGUUCAAGUCCAGGAUGGCCCAUAUCUCUAUGUUGGGGGUAUAGCUCAGUUGGUAGAGCGCCUGCUUUGCAAGCAGGAUGUCAGCGGUUCGAGUCCGCUUACCUCCACUGAUUACCACCUCUUCCAUAAUCUUGAGAAAGGAAAAAUUGUUGAGUUGUGAUCAUUUAUCUGAACGAAUCUAGCUUCCUAAUGAAACCAUUAAGAUGCUGGACUCAUUGAAUUAAUUUCAUUGUUUUCAGAGAACCUUGACAACUGCAUAGAUUAUUUUUAAAGACAAUAAGCAUCUUUUAUGAUGCAGAUUUAUUAUUUGUGCGAAUGCAUUAAUAACAAUUCUAUUAAGCUGAUGCUUCAAUUUUGAAGUUAUUGGUCAAGCUACAA